UUAUUUUGGCAGAUUAGUGUAUUUGAUUUAGAAUCAUUUUAAGUAAAAUUUAUUACAAGUAAUA
rnacentral:tRNA from 1 species